rnacentral:rRNA from 1 species
AUGAACCGGCAAUGGAUGUACGGUGACAGACACACCUCCGAGUACAUUAAGGGCGUGCAUGAUUUUCUCGAAGUGGCUGAGGCAAACAAGCAGAAUGGUUUUAUGUGUUGUCCAUGCCCUACAUGUGGGAAUACGAAGUCUUACUCUGACCGGAAAAUCCUUCAUGCCCACCUGCUUUACAAGGGUUUCAUGCCACACUAUAAUGUUUGGACGAGGCACGGAGAAAUGGGGGUUAUGAUGGAAGACGGCGAAGAAGAAGAGGACGAUGACAACUAUGUGCCCCCUGAAUACGGUGAUGCUGCAACGGGGGAAGCUUCUGAAGAUCAAGAGGAACCAGACGAUGUGCCCAAUGAUGCUGCAAGGGGGGAAGCUGCUGAAGAUGAAGAGGAACCAGUGCCCGAUGAUGAUGAUCUCCGCCGGGUCAUUGUCGAUGCAAGGACGCAAUGCGAAAGUCAAAAGGAGAAGCUGAAGUUCGAUCGCAUGUUAGAGGAUAAAAAAAAAAGGGUUGUACCCCAAUUGCGAAGAUGGCAACACAAAGCUCGGUACCGUACUGGAAUUGCUGCAGUGGAAGGCAGAGAAUGCUGUGCCUGA